GGGGAAUUGUUCGCAAUGGGCGCAAGCCUGACGACGCAACGCCGCGUGGAGGAUGAAGAUCUUCGGGUCGUAAACUCCUGUCGAGCGGGACGAAUGCCUUGCCGGUGAAUAUCCGGCGAGGGUGACGGUACCGCUAAAGGAAGCCCCGGCUAACUCCGUGCCAGCAGCCGCGGUAAUACGGGGGGGGCAAGCGUUGUUCGGAAUUACUGGGCGUAAAGGGCGCGUAGGCGGCCUGACAAGUGACGGGUGAAAGCCCUCGGCUUAACCGAGGAACUGCCUGUCAUACUGUCUGGCUUGAGACCGGGAGAGGUGAGUGGAAUUCCCAGUGUAGCGGUGAAAUGCGUAGAUAUUGGGAGGAACACCAGUGGCGAAGGCGGCUCACUGGACCGGUACUGACGCUGAGGCGCGAAAGCGUGGGGAGCAAA
rnacentral:rRNA from 1 species